rnacentral:rRNA from 1 species
GACGAACGCUGGCGGCGUGCUUAACACAUGCAAGUCGAACGGAAAGGCCCUGCUUUUGUGGGGUGCUCGAGUGGCGAACGGGUGAGUAACACGUGAGUAACCUGCCCUUGACUUUGGGAUAACUUCAGGAAACUGGGGCUAAUACCGGAUAGGAGCUCCUGCUGCAUGGUGGGGGUUGGAAAGUUUCGGCGGUUGGGGAUGGACUCGCGGCUUAUCAGCUUGUUGUUGGGGUAGUGGCUUACCAAGGCUUUGACGGGUAGCCGGCCUGAGAGGGUGACCGGCCACAUUGGGACUGAGAUACGGCCCAGACUCCUAAGGGAGGCAGCAGUGGGGAAUAUUGCACAAUGGGCGGAAGCCUGAUGCAGCAACGCCGCGUGCGGGAUGACGGCCUUCGGGUUGUAAACCGCUUUCGCCUGUGACGAAGCGUGAGUGACGGUAAUGGGUAAAGAAGCACCGGCUAACUACGUG